AGUGAACGCUGGCGGUAGGCCUAACACAUGCAAGUCGAACGGCAGCACAGUAAGAGCUUGCUCUUACGGGUGGCGAGUGGCGGACGGGUGAGGAAUACAUCGGAAUCUACUUUUUCGUGGGGGAUAACGUAGGGAAACUUACGCUAAUACCGCAUACGACCUACGGGUGAAAGCAGGGGAUCUUCGGACCUUGCGCGAUUGAAUGAGCCGAUGUCGGAUUAGCUAGUUGGCGGGGUAAAGGCCCACCAAGGCGACGAUCCGUAGCUGGUCUGAGAGGAUGAUCAGCCACACUGGAGCUGAGACACGGUCCAGACUCCUACGGGAGGCAGCGGUGGGGAAUAUUGGACAAUGGGCGCAAGCCUGAUCCAGCCAUGCCGCGUGGGUGAAGAAGGCCUUCGGGUUGUAAAGCCCUUUUGUUGGGAAAGAAAAGCAGCAGGUUAAUACCCCGCUGUUCUGACGGUACCCAAAGAAUAAGCACCGGCUAACUUCGU
rnacentral:rRNA from 1 species